UACGUAGGGUGCAAGCGUUGUCCGGAAUUAUUGGGCGUAAAGAGCUCGUAGGCGGUUUGUUGCGUCGGGCUGUGAAAUCCCGAGGCUCAACCUCGGGUCUGCAGUCGAUACGAGCAAACUAGAGUGUUGCAGGGGAGACUGGAAUUCCUGGUGUAGCGGUGAAAUGCGCAGAUAUCCGGAGGAACACCAGUGGCGAAGGCGACUUCCUGGCCUGUUCUUGACGCUGAGGCGGCGAAAAGCUGGGGG
rnacentral:rRNA from 1 species